rnacentral:tRNA from 1 species
UUAGCAGAAGCCAAAAGGAGGCUUAUUAUUGUUAAUAAUAGAAUUGAUUAAUCCUGUUAUU